GCCCUAGUAACGGCGAGUGAAGCGGCAACAGCUCAAAUUUGAAAUCUGGCUCUUUUAGAGUCCGAGUUGUAAUUUGCAGAGGGCGCUUUGGCUUUGGCAGCGGUCCAAGUUCCUUGGAACAGGACGUCACAGAGGGUGAGAAUCCCGUACGUGGUCGCUGGCUAUUGCCGUGUAAAGCCCCUUCGACGAGUCGAGUUGUUUGGGAAUGCAGCUCUAAAUGGGAGGUACAUUUCUUCUAAAGCUAAAUAUUGGCCAGAGACCGAUAGCGCACAAGUAGAGUGAUCGAAAGAUGAAAAGCACUUUGGAAAGAGAGUCAAACAGCACGUGAAAUUGUUGAAAGGGAAGCGCUUGCAGCCAGACUUGCUUACAGUUGCUCAUCCGGGUUUCUACCCGGUGCACUCUUCUGUAGGCAGGCCAGCAUCAGUUUGGGCGGUAGGAUAAAGGUCUCUGUCACGUACCUCCUUUCGGGGAGGCCUUAUAGGGGAGACGACAUACUACCAGCCUGGACUGAGGUCCGCGCAUCUGCUAGGAUGCUGGCGUAAUGGCUGUAAGCGGCCCGUCUUGAAACACGGACCAAGGAGUCUAACAUCUAUGCGAGUGUUUGGGUGUCAAGCCCGAGCGCGUAAUGAAAGUGAACGGAGGUGGGAACCCGCAAGGGUGCACCAUCGACCGAUCCUGAUGUCUUCGGAAGGAUUUGAGUAAGAGCAUGGCUGUUGGGACCCGAAAGAUGGUGAACUAUGCUUGAAUAGGGUGAAGCCAGAGGAAACUCUGGUGGANGCUCGCAGCGGUUCUGACGUGCAAAUCGAUCGUCAAAUUU
rnacentral:rRNA from 1 species